rnacentral:snoRNA from 1 species
GCCCUGUGGUUACUGGACACUGUUAUCUCAGUGCAGUGCUUCAGUUGUUAGAAAUGGGCCAAAAAUAAUACUCUGACUUAUGCAUGGAGCUGAUACUUUAGCAGCCUCCAUAGCCCGGUCACUGUUACAUUU